AGAUGCCAUGAGUCCAAAGGAAUCAUCCCGCCCCCAGCAGACAAGCGUGGAGCCAGCCUGCUCCUCUGGCCAAAGCAUUCCACCCCCGGACCUCUCCUCCAGGUACUUCCUGUCCAGACGGGCAGUGGCCCCAGAGCCUGGGAAACCUGCCCCACAGGUGAGGGCAAGGGGUGUGUCUGAAGUGGGUGAGAGGCUGGUAUGAGCCUUGGUUGCUGCUCUGGAAACAGGAAGAAGAGAUGUGGAAGAAGAGAUGUGGGUAUGGUGGAUUCUGACCCUUGGCUCCCCAAAGUUCCACAGGUGCCAUUGACCUUUAGAUGGGCUGUACGGUGUGGGGUUCGGUGCCAUGGAUCUGCUUCUCCAGGGACCAGGAUCUUGAGAUCUUCAGGCUGGGUUUCCAUGGAGGCAUGGAGCUGCUUUUCCUCCUUCAUAACUGCACUCAAAACAGCCCUGUUGCUCUAGAAUGGAGACUUGGGCAACUCCUUCUGGCACAGAUUUGUUCACCUCAGGUGAAAUUCAGAUAGAAGCAAGCUGCAGGCAGUUUCACCUCUAAGUCCAUGGGUUCUCAACUGGUAACGUCCUCUUAUGGAUGUUAGCCCAUGAGGUCAAUCCUGUAGCAAUCUAAGGCUUGAGAAAAAUUAAUCUUCUGGAAAAUUCCAAGAAUACAUCUUAGGGAAACUGGCUCUACCUUUAUGACUUGGAUCACACAAGGAUAUGCUUUUCAUCUUGGACUAGAACUGAGAGCCAAUGGAUGUGUUAUCUAAAACUAUCCCAGUGUGUUCACUAUACAGAGGAAGAUUCUGAGAUUCAAGACUCAAGACUGAAGAAGAUCAUUAUUUUUAUUAUUUUAGUCUUAUGCACAAAAUGAUAUCUACUGAAUAAGCAGGUUUUUAAUAGGUGACUUAUAUAUGUUAGCAAAAAUAAACACUUUGUCUUUUAGAUCUAUUCUAGUUUUUCAGUAGCUGUAGACUUAAGUGCUAACUUUUAGCCCAUAGGAUAAGAAGAAACCAAGUCCUAAAAGUAGGCCAGCACCAGGGUUCAGGCCUCUGACUUCAAGCCAAGGGCUCAUCAUCUUGAAUUGCGCACGAAUUUUUACACAGCGCCAAAGGAAACUGCCUGUACUUACUGUUGUAGGUGCUUUGCUGGAUUCAGGAUGCAGACAAGGUCCACGCAUUGUGGUUGGAACAAUGACUAGAUCUUUACCUGGUCCACAGCCCUCCCCAGUCUGGCUGCAACCUCUCAUGAGGCUGAGCUCACCAUGAACCCCUGCUCUAGGCGUCUGCAUAGUGUUCUGUUUGUCCCCGUGACUGUCCACCUCUUCUUUGGCCUGUUGGCAUGCGCUUAUCCUCCAGACCUCAGUCCAAAGUUCAGUCCCGGAGCAGACACAACCCUGUUUGCAGAGAGCCAACAUUCUAAUUGACAGUGCGUGGUGGGAAACAGUGAACCGAGGGAAAGAGUGCCAGUGUUAGAGAGCCACAGUGCAGUGAAGAAGAGAAGGCAAGAGGAUGUGAUGCAAAAUCACAGGACCUGGCUUCCAGACCAUUCUGCUUCCAUGAGAACAUUUCAGUUGAGAACCGGAUGGCAUGAAAGUAAGCCAGAAGACACCAGGCAGGGAAAGACUGGUCUCCAGGUGCAAAUGAGGUUGGAGCAUUUGGGACUGCAAAGAAUGUGGAGCGUGGUGAAUGAGAUGGCCCUUUGUAUCAGAUGCAUGCAUGAGUGGCUGGGGUCAUGUGUGUGCUUCAGUAGAGGGUACCACGGGGACACUAAGAAAUCUGGGUUUCUUUCUGAGGGCCUGGGAAGCCACCAGAAAGCAUUGAGUAGGGAGUGGUGGAUUGAUUUAUGUGUUUAUGAAAUCAUGCUGGGUGCUGGGUGGUGCAUGCUUAUUGGGACAGAGAACAAGGUUGGAAUUGCGGAGACCACAGCUAAGAGCCAGUUGCAGAGCCAGGCUCAUUGUGAUUCAACCUGGGAGGCAUUGGGGAUGAAAGCGAUGAGGCCAGUGAGGAUGUAUUUCUACAUAUAAUAUGGAUUAGGUAGAUGGGUUUAUACGUAAUGUAGAUUAGACUCAGAAAUCAAACUGGAGCCAAUGGCGGACACUUGAUGGAAGGUGUACUUCAAUUUCUUCCAUUCUAUAGAAAAGCAAUACAGUGGAAAGAGUAUGGGAUUUGGUGUCUUUCAGACAGGAUUCCACUUGCAAGCCGUGUGAUAUGGGGCAGCUCACCAGAUCCUGGACCUCCAUAAACCCCUCUGCAACGUGGAGAGAAUCAGAUUUCCCCACAGACUCCAUGAAGGGCUCCAGAGUGCCCUCCCCCGUUAGCCACUGAUGCAUUCAUGAGGAAGAGAAAGAGUUAAAUGCUCCUUUCGAGGAAGCGGUGGUGGCCGAGUGCUGUGGGCACUGUGAGAUCAGAGCUGACAGCCCAGACUGAAUCGCAACCCUCACUAGGGCCAUCGCGUUUUGCAGGGAGCUCUUCCCAAGUGCCCACUUUUACUAAAUUACAGAAAAUACCUAACAGGAUAGUUUCUUCGUGUUUUAAAAAUCAAUGAUCAAUUUUUGUUUUGUUUUGUUUUUAAAAUACAGUGUUUUCAGAGAUAAGAGUAUUACAUUGGAAACCUGUUGUGACACAGAAAAUUAGAUGAGCCUGUGGUUGAUUAAAACAGUCAAGUUGACCUACGUGUCAUCUCAGUGCACAGUAAGGAAGCGUCUUCAGCUUAGAAAAUUGCUGGGAUGAACACAAACAAAUCUAGUUCUUUGGAAUGAGAAUUUUCAGAUUUUGGAUUUAUGGUCAGAAAUGGCUGAGUCCCAGGGCCAGGAGCGGUGGCUCAUGCCUGUAAUCCCAGCACUUUGGGAGGCCAAGGCAGAUGGAUCGCCUGAGAUCAGGAGUUCGAGACCAGCCUGGCCAACAAAGUGAAACCCUGUCUGUACUAAAAAUACAAACUUUAGCUGAGCGAGGUGGCGAACACCUGUAAUCUCAGCUACUUGGGAGGCUGAGGCAGGAGAAUCAACUGAACCCAGGAGAUGGAGGUUGCAGUGAGCUGAGAUCAUACCAUUGUACUCCAGCCUGGGCAACAAGAGUGAAACUCCGUCUCAAAAAAAAGAAAAGAAAAAAGAAAGAAACUGCUGAGUCCUGAAAUACUGAUAAAAUGACCAGCCCUGUUCACGUUCAAAACCUGACACUUUUAGUGUCAGGGUGACCAGGAAUUGUGGCUGUAAAGGAAGCCUGAGACUUCUCUGGUUCUGGCAUGAAAGAAUUUUCCAAAACUAUGUAGACGCUGGGGCCUUACAAGUUUGAUAUUAGUGUAAACAAAUGUAUUCUCAACAAGAAUAUAGAUGAGUUUGCAAUGAAUUUCAGAAUACUUAACUCCAGGCUUAUAAGAGAUUAAAUAAUUCUUUAAAAUGGAUUCUCAAGCACUUUAUUUAUGCUACUCAUGGGAGCUACACUGGCAAGGGAGGUCACAGUUUCUGACGUGCCUUUUUUCUAAACUUCUGACUUUGUUUGUACACAUGCAGAACAUGAUUUAACUAUUGGGAUCCCAAUCCUCUAUAUUGGGGGAUUUUUCUUUAUAUUUUUUACCUUUUGAUAAAGUAGAUCUUUAGAAAUCAGAAUUCCUGAGUUUCCAGCACUGUCAAAUUUAGAUUCUUGGGAAUGCUGAGGUCUAACCUUGACUCUUUCAAAUGAAUGCUGGUGAACUUGUCUAAACUCCUGUUCCUGCAUUCAGUUUCUCCCUCUGUGAAGCGGAGGCAAUGUCACUCCCUCCUUUUAAAAUCCUUAAGGUUUGGGAAAGGUUUUCAGAGUAGUCAAAUAAUUUAAUACCCUUAGGUAAAAUGUGCUUUCAAAUUGUAUUUCUACCCAUGGAAAUGAAGAUUAGUCUCUUCAUUUUUUUUCUUAGAAUGGCCACUGGGAGAUUCUGCUAAAAUAAAAGAUUUUUUUUUUAAUAGUGCUGUUCAGGGGUGUUCGGAUUCGAUUGCCUUUCUUCUAACUCAAGGGUGAGUUUCAGAGACCCUGGUUCACACAGGACGGGGCAACUUCCGUCGUGUCCUUCUCAGAUGAGGCAUCUCACACUCGUCUUGUCUUGUGAAUAACUGCACAACUGGUCAUGAGGAAUGCUACAGUGUGGCCUGUCACGGGAGCCCACCUCGCACACAUUUAAGGCCAAUACACGUCUGGAGCUUUGACAGGGCUGUGUUUAUGUCUGCCUUUCACGAAAAUUGGUAUUCCUCUCAUCUUUUAUUUCAGCAGUUACAGUUAAACUACACCUUGAUGAACUACGCGUGUCUAUUCUCCCCAGUUCCCGGCCCACCUCCCUCAGCAACCCUCCCACAAACUGAAAUGGAAGCCGGGCUGUGAAACAUGAAACAGGCUGUUAUAAAACUGUAUUUUAUAGUUGCAGCAUGUUACAGUUGAAGGUGUGUUUACGUAGCUGAGGAGACAGAAACACCAGUCUUCCCACUCCAGAGUUUACCUAACUUCCUUCAGGACUAAGGGUAGAGCUGUAGAUCACAAUGUACCCCUUGGGGAGCUAAAGAGGAAGAGAAAGAGUUAAACACUCCUUUAGAUGAAGUCCACAUGCUAAGAAACAAAAUGAAUGGCACAAACAAACACUUCUGGG
rnacentral:lncRNA from 1 species